GAGCUCAGGGGAAGCGCCAGGAUCAGCGCCCCUUUCUGCCUGAUAGGUGCUUCUCCAAGCCAGGAGAGCUCAGCCCCUUUCCGCCUGAUCAGCGCUUCUCCGAGGCCAGGAGAGCUCAGGGGAAGUGCCAGGAUCAGCACCCCUUUCUGCCUGAUCGGUGUUUCUCCUAGACCGGGAGAGCUCAGGGGAAGCACCAAGAUCAGCGCCCCUUUCCACCUGAUUGGUGCUUCUCCGAGGCUGGGAGAGCUUGGCCCCUUUCUGCCUGAUUGGUACUUCUUCCAGAGCUGAUCCUGGUGCUUCUCCUGAGCCCCGAAGAAGUACCAAUCUCCUGGAAAGCGGCAUUGAUCCCGGUGCAUCUGCUGAGCCCUGAAGAAGCGCCUAUCACCUGGAAAGCAAUAUUGAUCUGGGCCAGCGCACUCACACACACACAAACACGUGUGAGCAGUUACAGCUGAAGGCGUUGCAACCUUCAACUAUGGCUCCCAGUCCUCUGGCGCCUCAUUGGCUCAGGCCAGCCGUCCGUCAGAAUCUACAUUCUGUGAUUGGCUGGCUCCCUCAAUGUGUCCCUCCCUUGCAGAAAGGGUUUGGCUCUUUAUGCCAGCUUGCCCCCUCGUGGGGCUCCUGAUACUGUAGGCCCCGCUAGCCGGGAAGGCGCACUGGAGUCCUGGCUGCCGGAUCUGAAUAUAAUACUGACGUAUGAAGAUUAAUGGGAAAAGAUCACUGUGCGAUAAUAUCAACAUCAACAUUUAACAUCCCUUGAUUCCUCUCUGUUGGAUAGAGACCUGUGAAGACUAUCAUGAGAAACCGUUUGCUCAACUUUGCCUGGAUCACCAGCUGCUCUUGGACUGGAAUUCAUAAUAAAAUCUAUGUCUAAAACCAACACACUAGCCUCAGAUUCAAUGGGACAUAGUCAGCAAAUAUUACACAGGGUUACAAAAUACCUGCUCCUUUUCUGCAGUCCACAGUUCCAGCACAAACUGCCCAGAGAUCCAUAGUCAUUAACUCACAUUCUCAAUGAAGUAAAAAGAGAAGUAAAAGGAGUCCCUAUGGAUUUUACUCCACUAGCCAUUGCUGACUAUAGGGGGCGGUGUUCAUUUCCAUUGAAAGGCCAUUGAAAGGCAGCGCUGGCUGAAGACAUUUCCAUGGUCAUGUAGUCAGCAUGACAUCGCAGAGCACUGUUACCCCCCCUACCUAAGUGGUACCUAAUUAUCUACUCGCAUUUGCAUGCUUUCAAACUGCUAGGUUGGCAGGAGCUGGGGUGAGGAUGGAGCUCACCCAUUGCAUGGUGCUCAGGUCUCAAACCUGAGAUGGAUCCUAAUUAAUUGGGUUUACUAGGAUGUGCCUUAUUUACUCCUGUUCUGAAAAGGCUUUAUGAGCAAAUAAUAUAGGCUAGAGAAGGACAAGAGGUUCACUAAAAAUAUCAUUUCCUAAUGUUUCAUGAGAAGAAAGCAAUUCUGAGUGGCAUAAUGUUUUCAUUGCAUGUUAAAUCCUGGCAUCUCCAGAUAAAAAGAUCGUAGGUAGCUAGACCAAAAAAGUAUUGUUUGAGGCUUUGAUGUUCAGCUGCUUGAGCAGAUAACACUGAGAUUGAUGAAUAUAUUGUUUGACCAAGCAUUAAGUGGCUUUAUAUUGAUUUUGGAAUGUAACAUUUGAAAAUAUUUGGAUCAAAAAGUGAAUGGCAGAUGAGGGGGAGUCUGCAAAUAUCGCCUUCCUGCAGCAACAGAAUGCUUAAAAGCCUGGGAAAAAUCAGUAUCAAAUCACAAUGGAGGAUGCAAAGAGAGCAUAUUCCAAUUGGAGAUUAUGGAUGUGGAAUAAAAUAGAAUAAGGAUUAGGACAGAAGCCAGCACUGCAGGAUAUCAAGAUGCUGGAAUUCCACUGUGUAAAGUUGUCUGCUACUUAUAGUAUGUAUUUUUCAAAGUUUGCCAUAAAUUUAUAUGGAAUGUAA